rnacentral:rRNA from 1 species
UACGGGGGGGGCAAGCGUUGUUCGGAAUUACUGGGCGUAAAGGGCUCGUAGGCGGCCAACUAAGUCAGACGUGAAAUCCCUCGGCUUAACCGGGGAACUGCAUCUGAUACUGGAUGGCUUGAGUUCGGGAGAGGGAUGUGGAAUUCCAGGUGUAGCGGAGAAAUGCGUAGAUAUCUGGAGGAACACCGGUGGCGAAGGCGGCAUCCUGGACCGACACUGACGCUGAGGAGCGAAAGCCAGGGGAGCAAACGGG